rnacentral:rRNA from 1 species
CGAGUCUGCCUUGAAGAUCGGAGUGCUUGCACUCUGUGAAACAAGAUACAGGCUAGCGGCGGACGGGUGAGUAACACGUGGGUGACCUGCCCAAGAGAUCGGGAUAACACCUGGAAACAGAUGCUAAUACCGGAUAACAACAGAUGAUGCCUAUCAACUGUUUAAAAGAUGGUUCUGCUAUCACUCUUGGAUGGACCUGCGGUGCAUUAGCUAGUUGGUAGGGUAACGGCCUACCAAGGCGAUGAUGCAUAGCCGAGUUGAGAGACUGAUCGGCCACAUUGGGACUGAGACACGGCCCAAACUCCUACGGGAGGCAGCAGUAGGGAAUCUUCCACAAUGGACGCAAGUCUGAUGGAGCAACGCCGCGUGAGUGAAGAAGGGUUUCGGCUCGCAAAGCUCUGUUGUUGGUGAA